rnacentral:piRNA from 1 species
UCAAUAUUGUGUAAACUCUGUGCAGAGACU